rnacentral:lncRNA from 1 species
AUUAUCUGCUCCUUUGGCCUUGCUUAAUAAACAUGUUUAUUUUAGUUAACAUUGACUUCAGCUUCUCAUUUGACAGUUUUCUGCCGGUGAUGACGUCUUGAGCUCUGUCAUGUACAACAAGGCACACUCAGCUUUUAAUCUUGCCAGAGUUUGGUCCCCAUCUCAUGAAGGAACAGAUUAAAUCUGGGCAUAUAUACCAAGCAUG